rnacentral:lncRNA from 1 species
CAGAAAAGGAAUAAAACUUGCCUCUUUUUUUGAAAAGCCCAGCUGGACAAUGGGCAUAUUCAAUGGCCAAGGCCUCCUCUAAUUGCUGGCUUGGGAAGAACUGGAGAUAACUCAGCAAUGGAGAGACAAGGAGGGCUCCUAGGGAACAACUUGGAGACCAAGGAAUCUUGCUGAAUGCCAGCAGAAAAUCUGGAAGCAGAACCAGUAUAAUUCAGCAUAACUGAGCCCACUGAGCUCUCCAGGGAAGCAUAAAUUGAGCACAGAAGCUCUGAAAUGGAUUGUAACCACAACAUCAGAGGUUAUAAGACCCUCAUUCCAGAGUGGUACUGCCCCGUGUCUGGGAAGAAGAAAGGCCACACAGAGAGACCAAGAGGAAUCCUAACAGACAGGCCUUGCUUGGUUUCCCCCUCAGUCUCUUACCGUUAGAUCAGAACUCUUUGGUCCAACCACAUUUCUACAUGGCUGUCCAUUCUUCAUCGAAUCUAAGAAGAAAAAUGGAUAGUUUUCCCUG